UAGAGCUCAACUUAUUACAUUUACCCCACUUAAUACAAGUACGAACCUGCUGUAAAUAGAAUAUAAAUAAAUAGAGCAGACAGAAGAGUAUGAAACAGGACAAUUAAACAAGUAAAAUUUGGCAAAGUCACAUGAUCCCCAUCAUUGAACCAAGCUCUUGUUCCACUGAAUAUUUGUCAGCCAACUGAUUGCAGUCACUGGAAACAUAUAUCUUCAAGUCCCUUAUAUGCACACAAUCUCUACUAGUUUGAACUUUGUCAUGCGGCUUGUCUUUGAAACUUCCUCUGAAGUCUGGCUACAGCAACGAUCACCCGAACAUAAAUCUGGUCAAUCAGGUUACCCAAGCAGCGGAAAUAAGCAUGCCUCCAGGACGUCUUUAGCAAUAAAGGUCCCCAAAAUCCCCAAAACCCAACAAUGAAGCCAAGUCCCAUACUCAUAUAGAAUGGAGGUAUGUGUAAUCCAUGCCCUGUUUCUGUUUCCAUUUUUCUGCCUACCUUCUUGUCAGUACAGUUUGGAUCUUCAUUUGAUUUAUCUUCUGAGCAAUUGUAUGCAAGGGGAGGUCCACAGAGGUUGAGAUUCCCCUGAUAUGUUGCUGCAUCAAAUGUUUGGAGCAUACUACUUGAAGGAAUUGAUCCUGACAACCUGUUAUGGGACAAAUCUAAUGAUGAAAGAAAAGUCAAGUCUGUGAUGCUGGUUGGAAUGCGGCAUGACAGUUGAUUCCUUGAUAAAUCAAGAGACUCCAUGACGCCCAUUGCACCAAUGUUUGGCGGGAUGGCCCCCACCAAAUUAUUUCUGGACAGGUUCAAGGAACUCAAUCCUAUUAGGCUUGUAAUUCCUCGAGGAAUUUCUCCAUUUAACCUAUUUGAAGAAAAAUCUAGUAACUUCACAUAUUCAAGAGUUUUGUCAAUGAUGAAUUGACAGCGAUUUGUUGUCAAGAUCACUUCCUCUAUGUAGGCAGUGUAAGGAUCAUAUAUGUAAGAACGAACAGUUUCCCGCUCAGCCAUGGACUUGAAAUUAUCCACACAACGUGGAAUCUCUCCUGAUAAACAAUUUGAAGAAAGGUCCAGGAUUUGCAGGGAUUCUAGGCGGCACAACUGCAGGGGGAUAUGCCCCUUAAAUGCAUUUGAACUCAAGCGAAGAAUCAUCAGCUUUAACAGUUUUUCACCAAUCCAUUCUGGUAUUUCUCCAGAAAGUAUAUUCCACCCAAGAUCAAGAACAAACAAACUAGUGCAAUUCUUCAAGGAUGAAGGAAUCAUCCCAGAAAGACCAUUAUCAUCAAGUCUCAAAGAAUUGAGCUUUAAAAGAUGCCCAAUCGACUCAGGGAUUUUUCCAGACAGAUUAUUGCUUGCUAAAUUUAAAAUCAACAAAUUUUUCCCAUGAGUCCAACAAUCUGGAAUCUGUCCUGAUAAAGUAUUAUUCGAAAAAUCCAGAUAUCUCAGUGAAUUAUUUACCUUCAACAUUUCACAUAAGCGGAAGAUUGGUCCAGAAAAUGAAUUUCUAGCUAGAACCACUGUACUGAUAUUGGGAGAGAGAAGAGGAAGAGGACCUGAUAAUUUAUUCGAACUCAAAUCUAUGGAUGACAAUUUUGUUUUUGAUGAUAUAUCCGGCACAGUUCCAGUAAUGUAGUUGGAAGAAAGAUUAAUAUGUCUCAUCUCUGAAGAGAGAUUCCAAAACCAGUCUGGCACAGCAUCAGAAAUUCCAUUCAUUGAGAUGUCAAUGGAAUAAAAGUGCUUUUGAGUUAGGAGCCAUUGUGGAAAUUGUGGCCCCAAUUUGCAAGAAUUUAGACCUAUGCUUUCUAGUUGAAAUGAAGGAGCCCAGCUUGAGCUAACAUUCAAUGUCAAAUUGUUACCAGAAAAGUCUAGCACUUGCAAGUUGCUGAAGUUCAGUAAUUCAGCAUCAGUGACAACACCCUUGCAUGGCCUCUGAUGAAUCUGAGCUGUGGAGAUCAAGAGAAAUGACAUGGCCUGUUUCGUUUUCGCAUCUCACUCCUCUCCAUUUGCAGCAAUCUUCUUCUGGUACCCACGAAGAGAAGCGAUCCAAAUGACUCUGAAAACCUUCUUUGAAGUUCUGAAGGGCUUUCUGCUCGCUAUCUAUGCACUGGACCUUCAACGCUGCAACAUCCAAACUGUAUUCAGUGGUUACCAUGAACACAUAUGCAAUGAAUAUGAACAUGGUUACAAGUUCAUGUAGUAUACUCCCCAUGAUCAACACAAUCCAAAGCUAAAUUUUGUUGCUUCAAAAGUAAGUAUGUUCGCAAAGGCAAUGCAAUCAGCUAAGUUGAAGAAUUCUUAUGAUCAAUGGUCUAACUAACGAGUAUUUGCUUCCAUAUUUCUUAGAAACUUCAUCCUUCGACCAUAUAUGAGAA
rnacentral:misc_RNA from 1 species